rnacentral:misc_RNA from 1 species
CCUAAAUGUCCAUUAAAAAUAAAUGAUAUUACACUUGGAAAAUUUUAUGAAAAAUUAAAUUAGUGGUACCUAAUGUAAAUAGCAAAAAUUGGGAGUUAAAUGUGGGAAAAUGAAACUUUAGAAUAAAAAAACAAUUAACCUUCACAUAGUGCUCCACUAACUCACUUAAGUGGACCACUAAAGCUUCAUUUGGGCAGAAUAUUUUCAUCUUUUUCAACCUUCCCAAAGGGCAGCCGAAACCAAGAAUGAAAUUACUCCAUGGCCGCAUGGGUUGAAGCUUCAUGCAAGCUUCAUCCCUUCAUCUCCAGGCCAAUUUUCUUACCUUUUCCUUCACUAAAAUUAUUCUACACCACUUGGACAGUAGAUAGGCAGCAAGGAGAUCAAGUUUUGGUGAGGUUUUGAAGAGUUUCCUAAGUGGUAAGUAUGUGUUUUUUAUUAUUGCUUCAUUAAAGUUUGUGAGGAUGUUAUGGGUACUUGAAUUGUGGAAAGAAUUUUGGAGUUUGAUGUUCUAAGGGAGAUGUUUAUUUUUGGCUGCCAUGGAAACUCCUUAAGGGCAGUUUAUUCUUGUAUGUAAAUGGUAGAUUAAAGUGUUGAUGAAGUGUUUGUAUGUGUAGGAAUAAAUUUAGUGAUGUAUAUUAGAUGUAUGUGAAUGUACACUUAAUUUUGGAAGCUUGGAAAUUAAUCCAAGGAGAGGUAUGAAUCGGCAGCCUGAAUUGUGGACCAAAAAUAUGUUGCUUUAUGGUUUGGUUUAUGGAAUAUUAUGGUUGAAUUAUGGUACUUGUUGUGGCAGCUUAUACAUGUGUAUAAGGGUUUGAGUUUGGACUUGUGAAUGAGCUUGGUUAUGUAGUUAAAUUGUUGUAAUUUAGACUUGAUAAAUUCUGUACUAUAAAGAGCAUAUUGAGUGUGGUCAUAAACUGCCAAAAUGACCAACAAUGUGAAGUAAAAUGUGUUUAGGUUAUGGUACAAAACAGAAAUGGCAUGAAUGUGUAACUUGGUAAUGUUAAAUGUGUCCUUUGAUGAGUGAUGAACAAAAUGCAAUAGGGCAGUUUAUGUUUUGGGCUUGGAACCUUAAGUUUGUGGCUCCAAUUGGUACCCCAAUUGGUAUGAGACCAAUUGGA